rnacentral:rRNA from 1 species
UCAGGAAGAAAGCUUGCUUUCUUUGCUGGCGACCGGCGCACGGGUGAGUAACACGUAUCCAACCUGCCCUUUACUCGGGGAUAGCCUUUCGAAAGAAAGAUUAAUACCCGAUAGCAUAAUGAUUCCGCAUGGUCUCAUUAUUAAAGGAUUCCGGUAAAGGAUGGGGAUGCGUUCCAUUAGGUUGUUGGUGAGGUAACGGCCCACCAAGCCUUCGAUGGAUAGGGGUUCUGAGAGGAAGGUCCCCCACAUUGGAACUGAGACACGGUCCAAACUCCUACGGGAGGCAGCAGUGAGGAAUAUUGGUCAAUGGGCGCUAGCCUGAACCAGCCAAGUAGCGUGAAGGAUGAAGGCUCUAUGGGUCGUAAACUUCUUUUAUAUAAGAAUAAAGUGCAGUAUGUAUACUGUUUUGUAUGUAUUAUAUGAAUAAGGAUCGGCUAACUCCGUGCCAGCAGCCGCGGUAAUACGGAGGAUCCGAGCGUUAUCCGGAUUUAUUGGGUUUAAAGGGAGCGUAGGUGGACUGGUAAGUCAGUUGUGAAAGUUUGCGGCUCAACCGUAAAAUUGCAGUUGAUACUGUCAGUCUUGAGUACAGUAGAGGUGGGCGGAAUUCGUGGUGUAGCGGUGAAAUGCUUAGAUAUCACGAAGAACUCCGAUU